rnacentral:rRNA from 1 species
CCUACGGGUGGCAGCAGUGGGGAAUCUUUGGCAAUGGGCGCAAGCCUGACCCAGCAACGCCGCGUGAAGGAAGAAGGCUUUCGGGUUGUAAACUUCUUUUCUGAGGGACGAAGAAAGUGACGGUACCUCAGGAAUAAGCCACGGCUAACUACGUGCCAGCAGCCGCGGUAAUACGUAGGUGGCCAGCGUUAUCCGGAUUUAUUGGGUGUAAAGGGCGUGUAGGCGGGAAAGCAAGUCAGAUGUGAAAACUCAGGGCUCAACCCUGAGCCUGUAUUUGAAACUGUUUUUCUUGAGUGCUGGAGGGGCAACCGGAAUUCCGUGUGUAGCGGUGAAAUGCGUAGAUAUACGGAGGAACACCAGUGGCGAAGGCGGAUUGCUGGACAGGAACUGACGCUGAGGCGCGAAAGCGUAGGGAGCAAACAGGAUUAGAUACCCGAGUAGUC